rnacentral:lncRNA from 1 species
UUGGAUAGUGUUGCCUCGGUGUAGGUCCUGAUGCAUGUUGUGGUGUGUCAACAAAAAUAAGAAACUGUGUGUAUGUGACACUGGAGGAAAGCUAGAAAAAUAUUCCAGAUUAUCAGCGGGAAAUGGAGGAGGUGCCAACCCAUUAGCCCAAACUCAAUGUAUUUCUAUCAUUUGUUGCCUUAAUUUUUUAAUCUCUUCAUUAGCUCCUAAAUUCUCAUUGCCCGAACUCCCUAUCUGAUCAGUGACAAUAAACUCGAUAUCCUUGUUGGUCAUAACUUUCUUUGUAACUUGGUGCAAUAUGGAGGACCAGCCAAAAUACCACAAACCAACCACCUUAAACUAACUGAACAAGAGAUAGCAAAUGCGUUAGAAUUCAAUAUUUUUUUCUCAAAACCUUUUUUUCUUUUUGAAAAGGUCACCGAACCCAAGAAGGGUGCCUACAUAUCUCACUCCCGAGAGAGGAGAAUCAAGUGUGCGUAGUUCAUGAAGUCUUGCCAAAAUGGUCAAUUAAACUCUUUUUCCAUUCUUUUUCUUGAAACUUCAAAGAGAAAAGAAAAUAACAAAUUGUCAAAAGAAUCGACAAAAAUCUUUUUUGAAUUUUUCAUCUCAACAUCCCUAUACAAAAUGACAUCUAUGAUCACCCAAGAAAAUCUUUUUGAGUUUUCAAUUUUACAUUUCAUGCGAAAAUAAAACUUGAACCAAUAAAAGGAAAAUCUUUUUUUUUGUAGUUUCCUUUUAAAGAUGUAUAAGAAACACUUACUCUAAAUAAAGAGUGGAGAAAAUCUUUUUGGAUUUUUCAAAUAAGAUUCCCGAACCAACAAUAGGCUGCCUACGUUUCUCACUCCCGAAAGAGGAGAAUCAGGGAUGCGUAGUUCAUCCAGAUUGGACAAUUAAGGAUUAAAUGACAAACUAAAUCCUGAAUUUAGAGACACGACUAAAAACAGACAAUAAAAGUAAAACCUUUUUUGGAUUUUUAAGUAGAAACUAACACCAACAACUAUGACAGAAAAAUUCUUUUUGAUAUUUUCGUUAUAUAAAAAUGUACAAAGCUCCUAUUAAAAGGAAAAAAAUAUUUUUUGGAGUUUUCAAAUUGUGAAUACUUACUAAAGAAAUAAAGGAAAAAUCUUUUUAAAGUUUUUGAUUUUUUGGGAAAUGAGUGCAAAAAGUAAAAAAAAAAACAUUUUUUUUUGAAUUGUGAAUAACAAAAGCCAAAGGACCAAGUGGGUCUUGCAAGAUCUCAAUAUGAUGCAAAUAAACAUGACCUAAAGGCUGACCUACGCUGGGGUUCACUAACAAGGCUGUUCGAGGGAGCGUAUGGUCGAUAGUGGCUGCGCUAGCUUUCUACCUACUCCAUACCAGCCGAUGGCUCCCUCUCCUAAAAAUAAAGGUGACUCAACUAUAGGUCGUGUACACAACGUGUACUAAAAAUAAUUUUUGACUCUUUAAACUGAUUUGCGAACAGAGAUCCGGCUAAGGAAUUCUAUUGACCGAGGGGAAGGUGUUAGACACCCCUCGAUCCCGUGGUUCAACCACGGUAGCUUGGUGGAGCAUAUCGGUUAAUUUGACACCAUGAAUAUAUAAACCACAUAAAACACAUAAAACAAGCAACAAACAAAUCAAACAAAGUUCAAAACAAAAAUAAUGUCCAGUCCGAGUUAUACAGUCCCGAAAAAAAUACGAAAAUGUAAAUUCUAUUCUAAAAUAAUCCUAGACUAAGCUCCAAUGCCUCACCCGACGCCUCGGGACUUCAUCAAGAAUGUCCUCCAAGUAGAAAAUACUUCGAGGCAUUCCCCGAAUAAAAUAAUACAAGUACUUCGGGGCAUUCCCCGGCCAAAUGAUACAUUUGAUCCAAACCCAUAAAACCAAGCCAUUCAACACAUAUUUUCAAUAUUCAACAAUCCACACGUUCUAAAUUUGCCUAUCCGAACCUACAAUUUGCCUACCAGAUUUGAUUUAUCACAAUUCCCACAAAUUCAAUAUAAUCGAUGAUCCAAAAUUAAUACUAAUUUACUAAUCACGUUUAACCCCUUCCCAAAUUUCUUUUAACCCGCGGAUUUUAAAAUGAAAUAGUUAUCAAGCCAUAUCAACAUCGAUUUCAUAUCAACGACUAACUAUCCAAAUAAACAAUACCAAGUAUUAACCAAAUACUCAAUCAACCAUCGUCAAACACAUAAUGAUAAUAAAAGAGUAGAGUCGAGAAUUGGACCUCAAAAGUUUUCAAUUGACUUAAGAAGAAAGAUGAGAGCAGCUCCGAGAACCUCAAUUCAAACCCCAGCUCUAGUAUGCAUCCUUCUUUUGUUUUCUACUGACCCAAAUAGAAAAUCGCCAAAAUAGAUGAAACCGAACCCAAUUUUGUGCAAAAGAAAACCUCAAUUCGGACCUGAAUAGCCAAUUUUGGACCCAGCUCCUACCUUAUUUGGCACACCGAACGGAUCUAUUCCAUUUUAUUUCCAGGGGGUUUCGGGAUCAGACUCACUGCUUCCGUCUUACCAGAGUUUCAGAGAGCUCGAAAAACAUCAAAAAAUGGAGAAUGGCCAAAUUCAGGGCAACAACGGACUGUUAACCCCCGAUGUAACUGCUUUUUCUUGAUCCCCUAUCUCUUUUGAUUCCUAUCUCUCUCUCUAUUUUUCUUUAUUCUUACCCCUCUUGAUCUCUUCCUCAAUCGAUGAUGUGUGUGUGAUGUCAUGUGUGGUGGAGUGUGAAGUUGUGCGUGUGUGCUUAUUCCGUGAAAAUGAAACAAAAAUUGGUCCCUUGAGGAAGAUGAGUCUCUGUUCCAACUACUCUCUCUUUUUCUCACCCACCUCUUGCAAUCUCUCUUUGUGUGUUAUGGAGGAGACCAAAAUGUUGUGGGUGUGUGUAUGGUUCUUGUAACAAUAUCACAAAGAUGAAGAAAAGAACAAAAAAUUGAAGUCCUCAAAAUGGCGUGAGGUCAAUUUUUUUAUGUAGAAGAUGAAAAAAAAUGGAGGAGCGUAUAUUGUUGUGUGAAUAUUAUUCUGUGGGCCCCCUCUUUUUCUAUAUUUUUGUUGUGUAUUUUGGUAAAAAGGAUUAAAAAAACGUGAGGGUGGGGGUGAGUGGGGUAGGUAGGGUAGAGGUAGGGUGUGGAUGAGGUGUAAAAAUUAGUUAGGAUAAGGGAAUAUUUUGGGAUUGGUGAUUUAAUUUGUUAGGAUUUGUUGUAUUUGUUUUCUUGUGGGGAAAGUAUAGAAUGGGUGAGGAUACAAUAAAGUGAGGUAAAAAUAAAUAAAAUUGGACUUGGGAGGGACAAAAUUAGGUGUCUACAUCUCACACUGUCGAAUUAUGCAUACAUGAAUAAAUUAUUUUAAUUGUUAUAGUUGCACUCUUUCAACAAAAUUCACUUUCAUUAUGUAUUCCUGCCUCCCUC